CCUACGGGAGGCAGCAGUGGGGAAUAUUGGACAAUGGGGGAAACCCUGAUCCAGCAAAGCCGCGUGAGGGAAGACGGCUCACGGGAUGUAAAGCUCUAUCGGCAGGGAAGAAAAUGACGGUACCUGACUAAGAAGCACCGGCUACAUACGUGCCAGCAGCCGCGGUAAUACGUAUGGUGCAAGCGUUAUCCGGAUUUACUGGGUGUAAAGGGAGCGCAGGCGGGGCGGCAAGUCAGAUGUGAAAGCCCGGGGCUCAACCCCGGGACUGCAUUUGAACCUGCCGGGCUAGAGUGGAGGAGAGGCAAGUGGAAUUCCUAGUGUAGCGGUGAAAUGCGUAGAUAUUAGGAGGAACACCAGUGGCGAAGGCGGCUUGCUGGACGAUGACUGACGCUGAGGCUCGAAAGCGUGGGGAGCAAACAGGAUUAGAUACCCCUGUAGUC
rnacentral:rRNA from 1 species